rnacentral:rRNA from 1 species
GGAAAAGAAAUCAAUUGAGAUUCCCUCAGUAGCGGCGAGCGAACGGGGAUCAGCCCAUUAAGUUAUGUGUGUUUUAGUGGAACGCUCUGGGAAGUGCGAACGUAGAGGGGGAUAUUCCCGUACACGAAAGGGCACACAUAAUGAUGACGAGUAGGGCGAGGCACGUGAAACCUUGUCUGAAUAUGGGGGGACCAUCCUCCAAGGCUAAAUACUCCUGACUGACCGAUAGUGAACCAGUACCGUGAGGGAAAGGCGAAAAGAACCCCUGUGAGGGGAGUGA